rnacentral:Y_RNA from 1 species
GGGUGUGUCUGAAGGUAGCAAGUUAGCUCAAUUGAUUACUCACAGUCAGUUACAGAUCGAACUCUCUGUUCGACUUUCCUUUGUUCUCACUACUGCACUUGACUACGCUUAU